UGGGCGUAAGCGUGCGUAGGCGGCUUUUUAAGUCGGAUGUGAAAUCCCUGAGCUUAACUUAGGAAUUGCAUUCGAUACUGGAAAGCUAGAGUAUGGGAGAGGAUGGUAGAAUUCCAGGUGUAGCGGUGAAAUGCGUAGAGAUCUGGAGGAAUACCGAUGGCGAAGGCAGCCAUCUGGCCUAAUACUGACGCUGAGGUACGAAAGCAUGGGGAGCAAACAGGAUUAGAUACCCUGGUAGUCCAUGCCGUAAACGAUGUCUACUAGCCGUUGGGGCCUUUGAGGCUUUAGUGGCGCAGCUAACGCGAUAAGUAGACCGCCUGGGGAGUACGGUCGCAAGACUAAAACUCAAAUGAAUUGACGGGGGCCCGCACAAGCGGUGGAGCAUGUGGUUUAAUUCGAUGCAACGCGAAGAACCUUACCUGGCCUUGACAUACUAAGAACUUUCCAGAGAUGGAUUGGUGCCUUCGGGAACUUAGAUACAGGUGCUGCAUGGCUGUCGUCAGCUCGUGUCGUGAGAUGUUGGGUUAAGUCCCGCAACGAGCGCAACCCUUUUCCUUAUUUGCCAGCGGGUUAUGCCGGGAACUUUAAGGAUACUGCCAGUGACAAACUGGAGGAAGGCGGGGACGACGUCAAGUCAUCAUGGCCCUUACGGCCAGGGCUACACACGUGCUACAAUGGUCGGUCACAAGGGUUGCUACCUCGCGAGAGGAUGCUAAUCUCAAAAAGCCGAUCGUAGUCCGGAUCGCAGUCUGCAACUCGACUGCGUGAAGUCGGAAUCGCUAGUAAUCGCGGAUCAGAAUGCCGCGGUGAAUA
rnacentral:rRNA from 1 species